GAGUUUGAUCCUGGCUCAGAACGAACGCUGGCGGCAUGCCUAACACAUGCAAGUCGAACGAGACCUUCGGGUCUAGUGGCGCACGGGUGCGUAACGCGUGGGAAUCUGCCCUUUGCUUCGGAAUAACAGUUAGAAAUGACUGCUAAUACCGGAUGAUGUCUUCGGACCAAAGAUUUAUCGGCAAAGGAUGAGCCCGCGUAGGAUUAGGUAGUUGGUGGGGUAAAGGCCUACCAAGCCGACGAUCCUUAGCUGGUCUGAGAGGAUGAUCAGCCACACUGGGACUGAGACACGGCCCAGACUCCUACGGGAGGCAGCAGUGGGGAAUUUUACGCAAUGGGGGAAACCCUGACGUAGCGACACCGCGUGAGCGAAGAAGCCCUUUGGGGUGUAAAGCUCUGUCAACAGGAACGAAACAAAUGACGGUACCUGUGGAGGAAGCAUCGGCUAACUACGUGCCAGCAGCCGCGGUAA
rnacentral:rRNA from 1 species